rnacentral:lncRNA from 1 species
GUGAGUUCAGUGACUUUGGAGACGUCACUUUUGAUUCGACGAACGAGAUUUGGCGACUCCAUGGCUGAGAGAUGGAACGAGAGGUAAGAAGCGCUUGUUGAUGAAGAUAGGAUUCGAGAGAACAGAGCCGGACGGCGACGCCUCCGCUACCAAUGACGUCAAUAGAGCGCAUGGAGAGGAAGGAGAGGAAGAAAGGAAAUUGUCACGAUUAUAGUUCAUAAAAUUGGGAAAGUGAUUUUGAAAGUCAAUAGUAAAUUGAAAGAGGAGAGAGAAUAAACCUUUUUGUAUAUUUUUACUUUUUUUUGUUUGGUAACAGAACAGUUUGUGUUUAGUUAGGAAAAUAGAAAUGUGUUUUGGUAGCUUAGUUGAGGGUAGAAAUGACAAAUCAUCUAGAAAAAGUGUGUGUUAUGCAGGAAGUAUCUUUAUGUGUAAAUGAAAAGUGAAAAUGUGUCUGUAAGUGUAAAUUUUUCUUUAUUUAUUUUUAUGUGGG